GACGAACCGUGCGAACGUUAUUCGGAAUCACUGGGCUUAAAGCGCGUGUAGGCGGCCCGGCACGUCCGUCGCUGAAAUCCCCCGGCUCAACCGGGGAAGGGGCGCGGAUACGACCGGGCUGGAGGGGGGUAGGGGGAGCCGGAACUUCCGGUGGAGCGGUGAAAUGCGUAGAUAUCGGAAGGAACACCUGUGGCGAAAGCGGCUCACUGGACCAUUACUGACGCUGAGGCACGAAAGCUAGGGGAGCAAACAGG
rnacentral:rRNA from 1 species